rnacentral:rRNA from 1 species
UAUCCCAACAGCUAGCUACAAGUUUAAAGAAAACAAACCCUAUCAAUAGCCCAAAAUACCCCAAAUCAACUCAAAUAAAUCAUUUUUUUUCAAAGUAUGGGUGACAGAAAAGAAAAAGCAAAGCAAUAGAUAAAGUACCGCAAGGGAAAGCUGAAAGAGAAAUGAAACAAAUCAGUGAAGAAACAGAAAGCAGAGACUAAAACUCGUACCUUUUGCAUCAUGAUUUAGCAAGACCUGACCAGGCAAAGAGACCUUUAGUCUGGCCCCCCGAAACCAAACGAGCUACUUCAAGACAGCCUUAUAGGGCAAACCCGUCUCUGUGGCAAAAGAGUGGGAAGAUCUUCAAGUAGAGGCGAAAAACCUACCGAGCUUGGUUAUAGCUGGUUGCACACAAAAAGAAUAGAAGUUCUGCCCUUGUGUGUUUUUGUUUAAUCCUAAGAUAUUUUGGGUAAUUUAAAGAAAUACAAGAGGUUAGUUAAAGGGGGGACAGCCCCUUUAACAAGAAAUACAACUCUGCCAGCAAGCAAAAGACCAUAAAGGGAAAAGGAUUUAUAUCUUGGUGGGCCUAAAAGCAGCCAUCCAAAAUGAAAGCGUUAAAGCUUAGAUAUCUACAUCACCCCCAAUUCUGGUACACAAUCUUAACCUGCUGGACACUAGUGAGCCUUUCUAUGCCCCCAUAGAAGUGAUCAUGCUAAAAUGAGUAAUAAGAGGGCAAAAGACCCUCUCCUAGCCCCUGUAUAAAUCAGAACGAACCUGCUCUGAAAAUUAACACCCCCAACAAAAGAGGGAAGAAGAUAAGACUUUUAAAAACAAGAAAAUCCCCUUAACAAAUAGUGUUAACCCCACACAGGAAAGCAUUUAGGAAAGACUAUAAGGAAGAGAAGGAACUCGGCAAACACCGGCCUCGCCUGUUUACCAAAAACAUCGCCUCUUGAAGCUCACCCAUAAGAGGUCCUGCCUGCCCUGUGACACUAGUUUAACGGCCGCGGUAUUUUGACCGUGCAAAGGUAGCGUAAUCAUUUGUCUUUUAAAUGGAGACCUGUAUGAAUGGCACAACGAGGGCUAAACUGUCUCCUUUCCCCAGUCAAUGAAAUUGAUCUCCCUGUGCAGAAGCAGGGAUACUAUCAUAAGACGAGAAGACCCCAUGGAGCUUAAGACUUUAGCAGCCCAUGUAAAAAACUGGCCGCCCCCAAGUUAACAGUGUGGCCCCUGCUUAAUGUCUUUGGUUGGGGCGACCACGGGACAAGAGAAAACUCCCAUGAAGAAUAGGACAACCCCCCUUUAAGAUAGAGCCCCAGCUCUGUUUUUCAGAAUAUCUGGCUAUCAGGAUCCGGCAAGGCCGAUCAACGGAAUGAGUUACCCUGGGGAUAACAGCGCAAUCCUUUUUUAGAGCCCAUAUCGACAAAAGGGUUUACGACCUCGAUGUUGGAUCAGGACAUCCUAAUGGUGCAGCCGCUAUUAAGGGUUC